CGGUAAUUCCAGCUCCAAUAGCGUAUAUUAAAGUUGUUGCAGUUAAAAAGCUCGUAGUUGAAUUUCUGAUAGAAGGGAGCGGUUCCGCAUUCUUGCGGAUACUGGCUCGUCUUCCGUCAUCCUUGGGCUUAGUCUCGCUGAUAUUAACUUAUCGGCGUGUACGAUGCCCAUCGUUUACUGUGAGCAAAUUAGAGUGUUCAAAGCAGGCAUUUUGCCAUUGAAUAUAUUAGCAUGGAAUAAUAAGAUAGGAUUUCACGAUUUUAUUUUGUUGGUUUGCGUUGUGAAAUAAUGAUUAAGAGGGACAGUUGUGGGUAUUCGUAUUCAGAUGUCAGAGGUGAAAUUCUUAGAUUAUCGGAAGACGAACGACUGCGAAAGCAUUUACCAAGGAUGUUUUCAUUAAUCAAGAACGCAAAGUAUGGGGAUCGAAGAUGAUUACGAUACCAUCGUAGUCUAUACCAUAAACUAUGCCGACUCAGGAUCGGCGGGUCAAUUUUUUUUGCUCGUCGGCACUGUAUGAGAAAUCAAAGUCUUUGGGUUCCGGGGGGAGUAUGGUCGCAAGGCUGGAACUUAAAGAAAUUGACGGAAGGGCACCACCAGGAGUGGAACCUGCGGCUUAAUUUAACUCAACACGGGAAAACUUAUCAGGUCCAGACAUAAUGAGGAUUGACAGAUUGAGAGCUCUUUCUUGAUUUUAUGGGUGGUGGUGCAUGGCCGUUCUUAGUUGGUGGAGUGAUUUGUCUGGUUAAUUCCGUUAACGAACGAGACCCCAGCCUGCUAAAUAAUCACGCGAAUGAUUCUUCAUUGGCGAUGGUUUCUUAGGGGGACAUGUUCGAACAACGAACAGGAGGAUCGGGGCAAUAACAGGUCUGUGAUGCCCUUAGAUGUUCUGAACCGCACGCGUGUUACACUGAUGCAUUCAACGAGCUAUUCAACCUUGGCCGAGAGGCUUGGGAAAUCUUGGAACGUGCAUCGUGAUAGGGAUUGAUUAUUGUAAUUUUUAAUCAUGAACGAGGAAUUCCUAGUAAACGCAGAUCAUCAAUCUGCAUUGAUUACGUCCCUGCCCUUUGUACACACCGCCCGUCGCACCUACCGAUUGAGUGACUCGAUGAAGGCUCGGGAUUGUGGUUAUUGCUUUGCAUUAGGAAUUACUGCGAGAAGUUGUCUGAAUCUCGCCACUUAGAGGAAGGUGAAGUCGUAACAAGG
rnacentral:rRNA from 1 species